rnacentral:rRNA from 1 species
AUUGAACGCUGGCGGCAGGCUUAACACAUGCAAGUCGAACGAGUGGCGGACGGGUGAGUAAUGUCUGGAAAACUGCCUGAUGGAGGGGGAUAACUACUGGAAACGGUAGCUAAUACCGCAUACCAUCAGAUGUGCCCAGAUGGGAUUAGCUAGUAGGUGGGGUAAUGGCCUACCAAGCCGACGAUAUCUAGCUGGUCUGAGAGGAUGACCAGCCACGCCGGGACUGAUACUCGGCCCGGACUCAUACGGGAGGCAGCAGGGGGGAAUAUUGCGCAAUGGGUGCAACCCUGACGCAGCCAUGCCGCUUGAAUGAAGAAUGCCUUCGGGUUUUAAAGUUCUUUCGGUGACGGGGCGUUAAUCCCAGAAGAAGCACCGGCUAACUCCGUGCCAGCAGCCGCGGUAAUUC